GUAAAUAUGAGAAGUUGUAUGUGCAUGUGAAGAAUCUUGCUUGAUAAUCAGCUGAUAAUCAUGCCAAAACGUCAGCUGAUUAUCAGUUGAUUGUCAUCCGAUUUUUUCAGUAGGGCUCCAACUAUAGCGUCGCAUAAUUCCGCAAGUAAACGGGUAAAACCGAAAAAGAAUUGGAGCAAGUAUAACGUGAAGGAUGUUUAUUGGACGAUAGCUACAGAAAGCUAUCAAGAAGCUUUAGGAAAAUUAAAAUUGGCUGAAGAUACUUCAAGCGAGGAAAGUGUGCAAAAAAAUGGAAUGAUCUGCACGAUCCAGAAAAAAGGAAAAGUAGACAACUGAAAAAUUUUGAAAGCGAUGAUGAUUCUGUACUUCUAUCAAAGAAAAGAAAGCUUGUAAAAGAUAAAAAAGACCAUUCUGAAGAGAAUCAGAAUAAGCAAUUGGAAUUACCAGAACUUUUGGCAGACCCAUCAACGCUAUCAUCACUUGAAAAUAAAAGUCCUGAUGUUGAAGAUGAGGAAGAGUCUGGCAGUCGAAAAGAAAACAAUCAACUUGAUAAUACAGAUGAUAUUGAUGAAUCAAAAAAUGCAGUUCCAGAAAUAGUGGAUAAUACAGGCAAUAACGAAUAAAAUCUAAAAUAUUUUAAAUUUUAUUUACAACAGAGUAAUAAUUAAAGCUUCUUUAGAAAAAAUAAGGCAGAAAACAGUAACAAAACGAUGCCUGUAAACAAACCCAAAAUAACAUUUAGUACGUUAUUAUCAGAAGAGGAAAGAUUUAUUGUCUCAAAUAGUAAUAUUACAAGAGUAGUAAGGGAAAAGGACAAAAUUCAAAGCAGCCAUUAACUGUAAAAUGCUGUUCCAUUGAAAAGAAAGAAAAAUGAUAUGUUAGCAAUAAAACAUAAUAUGGAAGAAGACGGUUUACUUUCACCCAAUGAUGAUGAAAUGAAAGAGAAUGGUCCAGGUGCAGCUCCAAUUUUAGAUAAUACAUGGACAGGAAGUUCUAAAAGCACGGAAUAUAGUGCACUAAAAA